AUUGAACGCUGGCGGCAGGCCUAACACAUGCAAGUCGAACGAGUGGCGGACGGGUGAGUAAUGUCUGGGAAACUGCCUGAUGGAGGGGGAUAACUACUGGAAACGGUAGCUAAUACCGCAUACCAUCAGAUGUGCCCAGAUGGGAUUAGCUAGUUGGUGGGGUAACGGCUCACCAAGGCGACGAUCCCUAGCUGGUCUGAGAGGCGGACCAGCCAGACUGGAAAUGAGGCACGGUCCAGACUCCUACGGGAGGCAGCGGUGGGGAAUAUUGCACAUUGGGCGCAAGCCGGAAGCAGCCAUGCCGCGUGUAUGAAGAAGGCCUUCGGGUUGUAAAGUACUUUCAGCGGGGAGGCGUUACCCGCAGAAGAAGCACCGGCUAACUCCGUGCCAGCAGCCGCGGUAAUUC
rnacentral:rRNA from 1 species